UACGAAGGGUGCAAGCGUUACUCGGAAUUACUGGGCGUAAAGCGUGCGUAGGUGGUUUGUUAAGUCUGUUGUGAAAGCCCUGGGCUCAACCUGGGAAUGGCAGUGGAAACUGGCGAGCUAGAGUGCGGUAGAGGGUAGUGGAAUUCCCGGUGUAGCAGUGAAAUGCGUAGAGAUCGGGAGGAACAUCUGUGGCGAAGGCGACUGCCUGGACCAGCACUGACACUGAGGCACGAAAGCGUGGGGAGCAAACAGG
rnacentral:rRNA from 1 species